rnacentral:rRNA from 1 species
AGAGCGAACGCUGGCGGCAGGCCUAAUACAUGCAAGUCGAACGGACCCUUCGGGGUUAGUGGCGGACGGGUGAGUAACACGUGGGAACGUGCCCUUUGGUUCGGAACAACUCAGGGAAACUUGAGCUAAUACCGAAUGUGCCCUUCGGGGGAAAGAUUUAUCGCCAUUGGAGCGGCCCGCGUCUGAUUAGCUAGUUGGUGAGGUAAAGGCUCACCAAGGCUACGAUCAGUAGCUGGUCUGAGAGGAUGAUCAGCCACACUGGGACUGAGACACGGCCCAGACUCCUACGGGAGGCAGCAGUCGGGAAUUUGCUCAAUGGACGAAGUCUGAAGCAGCAACGCCGCGUGAGGGAUGAAGGCCUUCGGGUUGUAAACCUCUUUUAUCAGGGACGAUAAUGACGGUACCUGAUGAAUAAGUCACGGCUAACUACGUGCCAGCAGCCGC